GACGAACGCUGGCGGCGUGCUUAACACAUGCAAGUCGAACGGAAAGGCCCUGCUUUCGGGGUAUUCUCGUGUGGCACACGUGAGUGAAACGCGUGUGUAACCUGCUGUAGAUUUUGGUAUACCUUGGGGAAUGGGUGGCAAACACGGGAUGGGAGCUCCUUCUGCAUGGGGGUGGAUGGUAAGUUUCGUCGGUGGUGGAUGGGCUCGCGGCUUAUCAGCUUGUUGGUGGGGUACUGGCUUACCAAGGCGGUGACGGGUAGCCGGCCUGAGAGGGUGGCCGGCCACAUUGGGACUGAGAUACGGCCCAGACUCCUACGGGAGGCAGCAGUGGGGAAUAUUGCACAAUGGGCGGAAGCCUGAUGCAGCGACGCCGCGUGCGGGAUGACGGCCUUCGGGUUGUAAACCGCUUUCGCCUGGGACGAAGCUUUUGUGACGGUAAUUAGUUAAGAAGCACCGGCUAACUACGUG
rnacentral:rRNA from 1 species